AAUAGAAAUGUUUGUCUUCUUAAAACAUCUGAAAGUGGCACACCAAGUUCCUCUACUCCUCAAGAAAACACCAUAUCUGGAUAUAGCCUUUUAACCUGCAAAAGAACUUUACCUGAACCCUGCCAUUCUAAAAUUUACCCGGGAGUUGACUUUGGAGGAGAAGAAUUGAAUGUGACUUUCGUUAAAGGAGUGGAUGUUUGCCAAGAGACUUGCACAAAGAUGAUUCGCUGUCAGUUUUUCACUUAUUCUUUACUCCCAGAAGACUGUAAGGAAGAGAAGUGUAAGUGUUUCUUAAGAUUAUCUAUGGAUGGUUCUCCAACUAGGAUUGUGUAUGGGACACAAGGGAGCUCUGGUUACUCUUUGAGAUUGUGUAACACUGGGGAUAACUCUGUCUGCACAACAAAAACAAGCACACGCAUUGUUGGAGGAACAAACUCUUCUUGGGGAGAGUGGCCCUGGCAGGUGAGCCUGCAGGUGAAGCUGACAGCUCAGAGGCACCUGUGUGGAGGGUCACUCAUAGGACACCA
rnacentral:lncRNA from 1 species